rnacentral:rRNA from 1 species
AGAGAGUGCCUUCGGGAGCUAUGAGACAGUGCUGCAUGGCUGUCGUCAGCUCGUGUUGUGAAAUGUUGGGUUAAGUCCCGCAACGAGCGCAACCCCUAUCCUUUGUUGCCAGCACGUAAUGGUGGGAACUCAAAGGAGACUGCCGUUGAUAAAGCGGAGGAAGGUGGGGACGACGUCAAGUCAUCAUGGCCCUUACGACCAGGGCUACACACGUGCUACAAUGGCGUAUACAAAGGGAUGCGAAGGUGCGAACUGGAGCGGACCUCACAAAGUACGUCUAAGUCCGGAUUGGAGUCUGCAACUCGACUCCAUGAAGUCGGAAUCGCUAGUAAUCGUGAAUCAGAAUGUCACGGUGAAUACGUUCCCGGGCCUUGUACACACCGCCCGUCACACCAUGGGAGUGGGUUGCACCAGAAGUAGAUAGCUUAACCUUCGGGAGGGCGUUUACCACGGUGUGGUUCAUGACUGGGGUGAAGUCGUAACAAGGUAACCA